AUAUAUAUAUAUAACGUGAAUUUAUUAAUAUAAUAUUUUUAUGUUAAUUUUUUUGAAAAGCGAACGAAAAAGAAUUCAAAUACCAUUAGAAGAUAAUUCUCUUUUAUAAAACAAUCGUCUCUCGAUUCUCGAAACAUCGAUGCUAUCGACACAUCGAUAAGGAGAGUAGUAGGUGGCGCCACUGUAGACUACAACGACGGUGGUUUUCACGAUGGCCGACGAGGAACGUGCCGUCCUCUUGAAGCUCGUACACGGCGAGGACAAUUUAUCGGGCUGACAACACCCGUCGUUAUACGCGAUUAUUAAAAUUUCGUUAAGUUAGAAAAUCGUGGGUGAGAUUAAUUAUCAUUGGAGAGAUAGGAACGUCGAUGGUUUCGAGAUAAUAAAAAAAAAA